GACAGAGGAUGCAAGCGUUAUCCGGAAUGAUUGGGCGUAAAGCGUGCGCAGGCGGUUAUGUAAGACAGGUGUGAAAUCCCCGGGCUUAACCUGGGAACUGCAUUUGUGACUGCAUAGCUAGAGUACGGUAGAGGGGGAUGGAAUUCCGCGUGUAGCAGUGAAAUGCGUAGAUAUGCGGAGGAACACCGAUGGCGAAGGCAUCCCCUGGACCUGUACUGACGCUCAUGCACGAAAGCGUGGGGAGCAAACGAGG
rnacentral:rRNA from 1 species